AACGUCGCAAGACCAAAGAGGGGGACCUUCGGGCCUCUUGCCAUCAGAUGUGCCCAGAUGGGAUUAGCUAGUAGGUGGGGUAACGGCUCACCUAGGCGACGAUCCCUAGCUGGUCUGACAGGAUGACCAGCCACACUGGAACUGAGACACGGUCCAGACUCCUACGGGAGGCAGCAGUGGGGAAUAUUGCACAAUGGGCGCAAGCCUGAUGCAGCCAUGCCGCGUGUAUGAAGAAGGCCUUCGGGUUGUUAAGUACUUUCAGCGGGGAGGAAGGUGUUGUGGUUAAUAACCACAGCAAUUGACGUUACCCGCAGAAGAAGCACCGGCUAACUCCGUGCCAGCAGCCGCGGUAAUACGGAGGGUGCAACCGUUAAUCGGAAUUACUGGGCGUAAAGCGCACGCAGGCGGUCUGUCAAGUCGGAUGUGAAAUCCCCGGGCUCAACCUGGGAACUGCAUUCGAUACUGGCAAGCUUGAGUCUCGUAGAGGGGGGUAGAAUUCCAGGUGUAGCGGUGAAAUGCGUAGAGAUCUGGAGGAAUACCGGUGGCGAAGGCGGCCCCCUGGACGAAGACUGACGCUCAGGUGCGAAAGCGUGGGGAGCAAACAGGAUUAGAUACCCUGGUAGUCCACGCCGUAAACGAUGUCGAAUUGGAGGUUGUGGCCUUGAGGCGUGGCUUCCGGAGCUAACGCGUUAAAUCGACCGCCUGGGGAGUACGGCCGC
rnacentral:rRNA from 1 species